rnacentral:lncRNA from 1 species
GGCAUCUCGACGGCUCGGCGGGGCCAGAGAGCGAUCGAGGUUUGUUGCCCGCCGCGGAGCUUCCUGAGCCCCGGCCCCCCGCCUCCGCCGACCAAAGGUUUGCCAGUGGGACCGGCCCGGAGACAAUAGCUGCCCCCGCGGGCGCGCUGUCGGCUUGUUUGGAAAGCCCAGAGGCGCUUCGAGGUAAAAAGAUGUUUCUCUUCUUUCCCGUCUUCCUCUCAAGACCCUCUGGGCUGACCCGGCGCGGGGGCUCACGCCUGUAAUCCCAGCACUUUGGAAAGCGGAGGCGGGCAGAUCACUUGAGCCCGGGAGUUGGAGACCAUCCUGGGCGAAAUGGCAAAACCCUGUCUCUACAAAAAUACAAAAAUCAGCCGGGAGUGGUGGUGUGCGCCUGUGGUCCCAGCUACUCUGGAGACUGAGGUGGAGAAUCGCUUGAACCUGAGAGGCAGAGGUUGCAGUGAACGGAGAUUAUGCCACUGUACUCCAGCCUGAGCAACAGAGCGAGACCCUGUCUCAAACAAACAAACAAACAAAAACCAAAACACAAAACCAAAAAACAAAACACAAACCAAAAAACUGCACUCCAGCCUGAGCGACAGAGCCAGACCCUGUCUCAAAAAAAAAAAAAAAAAAAAAAAAAGAAAAAGAAAAAGAAAGAAAGAAAGCAAGAAAGAAAGAAAAAAAGAAAAGAAAAAGAAAAAUCUCUGGGAAUUGCAUUCAUUCCACAGACUUCUUCCAUGCUUUUCUGGAUUCUCCCAAUAACCAAGGGACUGACAACUGUCAAGCCUGAAUGCCUGGGACCCAAUCCUGCUUAGGCCACACCCAGAAAAGAUGAGUGAGGAUCUCCGCGUUGGAGGAAGAGGGAGUCGAAAGAGGCUUCCACUCUUUGAAAAAGACCCAAUGGUGGUUGGGCUUCGGGUCACGUGACACCUUCUUUGUGGCUCCGGAAGAGGAUUGUGAAGUUUAGGUUUCGUGGAAGAAACCGAUAAUUGAGGAAAAAAAAAAAUCAAGAUUUGGGGGGAAUUACCUACAAAGAUGUAAGGUGUGUUAAUUUGGGCGCUUCUUGGAUUCUACCCUGAGGAGGAGGCGCGUGGUGAGAGGAGAGAUCUUGAUCUGCCGCUCGCUGAGGUUCAGCAGGUUGGCCAUCUCUACACGGCGAGGCCGGCACAGGUAGCGGUUAAAAUGGAACUCCUUCUCCAGCUCCACCAGCUGCGCGCUCGUGUACGCCGUCCGCGCCCGCUUGGACGCCGCCGACCCCGGGGGGCUCUUGUCCCCUCCCCCGCCGCCGCCGCCACCGCCCCCGCUGCCACCACUGCCUCCGCCGCCGCCGCCACCGCCGCCGCCACCACAGCCCUCUGCUGGAUCCGAGGGGGAGGGGUGGGAAGGGGAGAAAAUGAAAUAAAAGAUAAUUACUGAACACGCCGAAAUUGAAUGCAUCGUUUCUUAAUAAAUCCAGGCCUGGACUCAGAGCCCCCGCCGCCCUCCCCUUCGGGUCCCCGCCGCCUCCUCACUCCCCCACCCCACCGCCCGUCGCAUUAGCGGACACUCUAUAAUAGUGGCAUUUAUUAAGAGACC